CACGCCGUAAACGAUGGAUACUAGCUGUAGGGGGUAUCGACCCCCUCUGUAGCGAAGCUAACGCGUUAAGUAUCCCGCCUGUGGAGUACGGCCGCAAGGCUAAAACAUAAAGGAAUUGACGGGGACCCGCACAAGCGGUGGAGCGUGUUCUUUAAUUCGAUGCUAAACGAAGAACCUUACCAGGGCUUGACAUCCCGAGAAUUACUGCGAAAGCAGUGAGUGCUUUAUUGAACUCGGUGACAGGUGC
rnacentral:rRNA from 1 species